AAGUUAUCCUCCUGCCUUGGCCUCCCAAAGUGAUGGGGUUACAAGCAUGAGCCACUAUGCCUGGCUGAGAUCUUUAUUUCUUCACUUGAGUUACUGUCUAUCACCCUUUAUUUCAACCCGCAGGACUCCCUUUGGCAUUUCCUAUAGGACAGGUCUAGUGGUAAUGAACAUUCUCAGCUUUUGUUGAUCUAAGAAUGUGUUAAUUUCUCCCUUACUUUUAAAGGACAGUUUUGCUGGAUGUGGGCUUCUUGGUAGACAGUUUUUAUUCUUUUAGCACUUUGGAUAUAUUGGCCCACUGCCUUGCGGCCUUCAAAGUUUCUGAUCAGAAACCUGCUAAUAGUUCUAAUAGUUUUAUUGAGGAUUCCUUACAUGUGAUGAAUCAUUCUUUCUUGCUGUUUUCAAAAUCUUUGUCUUUGGGUUUUGACAAUUUGAUUAGAAUCUCUCUGCGCCCUUUGCUCUCUCUUCUUCUGGGGCUCCUACAAU
rnacentral:lncRNA from 1 species